GCAGUGGUGGUUCAGUGGUAGAGCUCUCACCUUCCUUGCUGGAGACCCAGGUUCGAUUCCUGGCCGGUGCA
rnacentral:tRNA from 1 species